AGCUACACAAGAAGAUGAGGAUGGUCAUUUUCUGUUUCUGAGCUGCGAACGGGCAGAAAGCUACACAAGGAGAUGAGGAUGGUCAUUGUCUGUUUCUGAGCUGCGAACGGGCAGAAAGUUACACAAGGAGAUGAGGAUGGUCAUUGUCAUUUUCUGAGCUGCGAACGAGCAGAAAGGUG